rnacentral:lncRNA from 1 species
GAGAGCAGACUUUCGUUUUAAUUUAUUUAGCAAAAGGGUUUCCUUGCAUUUUCUUUUCCAUUAUAUAGAUGAGCUGCUGCGUGAUGAUGGGAAGUGGGCAGAGGCUUCUUUCCAUUAUCANUUUUCUUUUAAUUAGUUGUUGAAUUUAGAAUGGAUUAGAUACUAGGUAGGUGUACGNUGAUGAGCAUGAUUUAUGUUGCUGAUGUUAAUUUUAUAUUCCACAUAUUACAUUGNUAAUUGCAUUGAACGAANUGUCAUUUUCUUCUUUGAGAGGUGAUGUCACAUGUUACCCCAUAUUAAGAUUGCAUAUUUGUCCUUUGUUUUACUUAGAUNCUUAAAUCNGUGUUGCUUCCGUUCAACAAUUUCCAAGNUUCCAAUGUGUAUUUAAUUUUCNUUUUAGUUCAACAUUGCAAUUUAAGAGCAUUGAUGCAUUUUGUUAUUUAUUUAUUGCAUGUCAAUUAGUUCACUCAACUUGCUUUAAGAUUGUUCAAUUUAAUGUUUCCAUGUUGUUUGUUAUGUUCGGUUUAGAGUUUCCGCAUUUACCACACAAACCUUUCACAAACCCCCCCACUUCGUGUUAGACCUAAGACUCGAACCACAUUUGGUCCUUGAGAGACGACCUAAGGGUCAUUCCCUAGCACUAUACUGCAUUUUUAAUGCACAUCAAAUUUGUGUGGGUUGCGACAACUCAUCAAAUUUUGGCGCCGUUGUCGGGGACCAACGGUUCGGUUUUAGGUCUUUUUUGUGUUAGUGUGUGUUGUGUCUUGUCUUGUGUUGUGAGUGUGAUGUUCUGUUUUGUGUGUUUGUCAUUGUGUGUUGCAUGUAGGUAGCUUUAGUUGCAUAUUUUCAUUGCAUUCUUCUUUUUCCCUUCUUUCCCAUGUCUACCUAUUUUGGUUAUGUGAGUAAUGCUUAUUCUGCCUGUGUCUAUGACUCUACUUCUGCAUCUGACUCUGAUAUUGCUUGUGAUGUAUACUCANN